rnacentral:lncRNA from 10 species
CAUGGACACAGAAGGAUUCUGAAAUGAUUUUAGAUAUUUCGUGGUAUUGAGCAAAUCAGUAAACACAUUGUUGUUGAGAUCCAGAGUUCUCACUGUGGAGAAGAAAGUUACAAAUACAGAAAGAGAGAAGACAUGGAUGUAAGAAGAAUGGACUGCAAUUGGAGCAGUGCCUUGGCCCAUUUUAUAGCAUUGCUGUCCUGUGUAUACAUGUUUGCCUACAUUUCUCUUCAUGGAUUUAUGGUAAGUAAACUUCAUCGUGAAUUAAAAUGGUUUAUAAACAAAGACCCACAGGUACUAUCAUGUCCUUCCUCAUCAAUGAAUCCCAUUGCAGCCCACCCUUGUUUUCCCGUCUGACAAAUGACUGUUUAGACUCUGCAAACCAUUCAGACACUUACAUUUCCUGCCUGGGAAUAUUUAAACAUUUUAAAUAUUUCAAGAGCAUGUCUUUCAUUUCCCACAAAACCAUGAGGUCUUGGAAAGCCAGGUCCAUGUAUUAUCUUCCUUUCAUGUCUUUCACCACCUUUAGCCAAAUAUCUAAUUUAAUUAGAUGCUGAAGGCUAAGUAGGGACUAUCUGUUAUACUUAUUUAAUGUCCUUCAUAGCACUUAGCUGAGGGAUGGGUAUCUGGAAGGUGUUUAUUUAAUGCUAAAUAAACAGAUUUUAAGUUCCUAAGACUUUACCCUAAAAUUAUUUUUAUUUUUGGGUUUCUUAGCAUGACUUCUAUUUGACAAAUAUAGGUAUGGCAACCAGCAUGUUCCCUCCCCCGGUACCCAGAAAAGAUGUUCAUUUCUCUACAAAGACACUGCCAACACAUUAAAUACCAGUCUUUUAGUAUGUUUGGAGGGGAAAAGAGAGAGAAAUGGGCAAAGCACUUCCCUCUUUUCUCCUGAUCCAUAGCAACUUCUCUGAGGCGGAUCUGCCUCCUCUUUUCUCAACUUUUUCUCAUGGUACCAUUUCUCAGCAAGAUUUUCACCAUUCUGCUGGGAACCAAGAAAGAGAAGAGGGAAAAUAUUAAAUAAAAGUGGUAUUCUGGAGAUUUAAAAACAGGGACUUCAGCUCUAAAACUAUCAUGUCCAAAUGAGCUCUCAUAUAUCCCCUUUUCCUUUCCCACCUAUUUCAAACCAAGACAUCUUGUCCUGGUAUCUAGAAAAAAAACUUACUUGAAAAAUUAUUUGUUCUGGUGUAUCCUAGUUAAUGAUUAUUUAGAUUAGUCAAGCCUUACCACACACACACAAUACCUGUCUCAUCGUUUUUAAAGAACUAGAAUACAUAAUAUACUCAACACCACAGCUGUCCUGACAUAAUUUCAGCCCCUUUUGAUGAUUCAAAGUAUUUUAGGAUUUCCAUGACAUUUAAUUAUUUCAGUGCAUAUGUGCAAGAGUGCCAAAGAAGAGAGCCUUGUGGGGAGAGGAAUUCCAGAUCACAGAAGAAUUCCCAUAUUCAAACAGGAUGUCCAUUAUACAUUCCUUGCUCAUCAUGAAGAACAGAACAAUGACAAGGACCAAGCAGAAUCAGAAGGGACUCUAGUCCUGACUUAAUGUAUCAAACGAAGCUCCAGGAUUUAAUCAAGAAAGGAGGCCAUCAGGAAAAAGAAAAUCAACUCUGAAGCUUAGCUGAAAAUAAUUUGCAUUUUGGGAGCUGUGCGUUAGGGAUGUUUGGUCCAAGCUCUUUCAUGGGGAGAUAAAAUGAAAAUGAUGUGCUUUAUUACUUUGAAAGUCAUACCCUUCUAAUAACAGGGAGAAUAGGAAGCUUUUCUGAUUUAUUCUGCUGAACCAUCACUAUCUGGAGUCAUUUGCACUCAUGGACCAUUGGGAGAACAUUAAUUGACCAAAAAGAGGCUGCUGUUAUUGUCGAGGCAGCAUUGUGUAUCCUUCUGAAAUGGCUGAUCCUGACCUGGGCUCUUGACUUUGCCCCCUCAGACUCUAGCUUUUAUGGGACUGGAUGGAUCUACUGCCAGAGGUCAAGUAGUGCCAGACUGAAAAGCUUUAUCAAUUCCAGAACCUCACCGAGUACCUCCUACUAGGAAAUUUGAAUGUGAACACCUUGGUAACAUCUCAACCACGCACUUGGGAGCUUUUGCCUAUAAUUCAAAGCAAACCGAAAAAGAAAUUAUUCCCACCAUGUUGCAAAAAUUGAAAUGGAAAAAGAACUGUUGAUUCUAAUUCCUCAACCCAGGACUUCAGAUGCCAAUAAUGAUUGCAAAGAAUAAACACCCACUGAGUGCAUCUCAGAAACCGAA